CCUACGGGAGGCAGCAGUGGGGAAUAUUGCACAAUGGGGGGAACCCUGCUGCAGCGACGCCGCGUGAGUGAAGAAGUAUUUCGGUAUGUAAAGCUCUAUCAGCAGGGAAGAAGAUGACGGUACCUGACUAAGAAGCCCCGGCUAACUACGUGCCAGCAGCCGCGGUAAUACGUAGGGGGCAAGCGUUAUCCGGAUUUACUGGGUGUAAAGGGAGCGUAGACGGCAGGGCAAGUCUGGAGUGAAAGCCCGGGGCUCAACCCCGGGACUGCUUUGGAAACUGCCAUGCUGGAGUGCUGGAGAGGUAAGCGGAAUGCCUAGUGUAGCGGUGAAAUGCGUAGAUAUUAGGAGGAACACCAGUGGCGAAGGCGGCUUACUGGACAGUAACUGACGUUGAGGCUCGAAAGCGUGGGGAGCAAACAGGAUUAGAUACCCCUGUAGUC
rnacentral:rRNA from 1 species